UUGGUUGGCUAACAAAUGAGCCACUCAGAAACUUAACUUUUAUUGUAGCCUCAUUUUUAUUUUUGUGAGGGAAUUCUGCAGUAAUGAUAUAUUUCAUUUUAAAUAUUAUUUUUCUGAUCCAUUGCUUUCUUAGUGAGACCUCAUCUCUAAAAAAAUAAUAAUAAUAAAUAAAAAUCAAGUAAAUGUGAGCAAACCAAGACUGAGCACAAGUACUCAACAUACAUAUUCACAUAUAUAUUAAAUACAUAUUCACAUAUAUAUUAAACACAUAUUUGCAUAGAUUGACCUUGCUAGACGUACAGGAACCCCUUCCUGGACUUCAGAAAAGGUUUAGUUUCCUUUUCAGUUUUUUUUUUUUUAAUUUUAUUAUUAUUAUACUUUAGGGUACAUGUGCACAACGUGCAGGCUUGUUACAUAUGUAUACACGUGCCAUGUUGGUGUGCUGCACCCAUCAACUCGUCAUUUAGCAUUAGGUAUAUUUCCCAGUGCUUUCCCUCCCCCUCCCCCCACCCCACAACGGUCCCCGGUGUGUGACGUUCCCCUUCCUGUGUCCAUGUGUUCUCAUUGUUCAAUUCCCACCUAUGAGUGAGAACAUGCGGUGUUUGAUUUUUGUCCUGGCGAUAGUUUGCUGAGAAUGAUGGUUUCCAGUUUCAUCCAUGUCCCUACAAAGGACAUGAACUCAUCCUUUUUUAUGGCUGCAUAGUAUUCCAUGGUCUAUAUGUGCCACAUUUUCUUAAUCCAGUCUAUCACUGUUGGACAUUUGGGUUGGUUCCAAGUCUUUGCUAUUGUGAAUAGUGCCGCAAUAAACAUACAUGUGCAUGUGUCUUUAUAGCAGCAUGAUUUAUAAUCCUUUGGGUAUAUACCCAGUAACGGGAUUACUGAGUCAAAUGGUAUUUCUAGUUCUAGAUCCCUGAGGAAUCGCCAUACUGACUUCCACAAUGGUUGAACUAGUUUACAGUCCCACCAACAGUGUAAAAGUGUUCCUGUUUCUCCACAUCCUAUCCAGCACCUGUUGUUUCCUGACUUUUCAAUGAUCACCAUUCUAACUGGUGUGAGAUGGUAUCUCAUUGUGGUUUUGA
rnacentral:lncRNA from 10 species